UACGAAGGGGGCUAGCGUUGCUCGGAAUCACUGGGCGUAAAGCGCACGUAGGCGGAUCGUUAAGUCAGGGGUGAAAUCCUGGAGCUCAACUCCAGAACUGCCUUUGAUACUGGCGACCUUGAGUUCGGGAGAGGUGAGUGGAACUGCGAGUGUAGAGGUGAAAUUCGUAGAUAUUCGCAAGAACACCAGUGGCGAAGGCGGCUCACUGGCCCGAUACUGACGCUGAGGCACGAAAGCGUGGGGAGCAAGCAGG
rnacentral:rRNA from 1 species